rnacentral:lncRNA from 1 species
UGAUGUGUUGGAUUGUGUUUAAGCAUAGAUGUAAAAAUCUACGCAAUGAUCAGGGGAACUGUAACAAGUACAGGCACAAGUCUCUAAGUGAUUGAACUUUCAGUAAAUUGUAACUACUUUGUCAUCUAGCCCUUAUAUGCGUGCUCAAACUUCUUAGGCUUAAGGUUUUAGACUAACUUUUGUAAUAAUAUUGCAGACAUGAUAUCGUCUUAUGCUGAUUUAAAAACGUGUAACUUUUUUUUCCUCCUUAUGUCUUUAAAGGCUUGCCAUGGAUGUACAUCUUUAUCCAAGUGUGAUUGCAGUGGAGUAAAAGGGCGAAAGGGGAUUCCCAGGCUUGGAAGGGCAGCCAGGUUUGCCUGGGUUUCCAGGACCAGAAGGACCUCCUGGUCCAAGAGGYGCAAAGGGUGAUGAUGGACUUCCAGGGCCUGUUGGACCCAAAGGAAUCAGAGUAAGCAUUUGUGCAGUUUUAGGGUGAUGUACUGGGAUUAGGGAUAAAGAUUGGCAGGCAU